GAGGAAGACCUUCUCAAAGCUGAUGAUGUAAUAGGUAUGAAGGAGCAUUUCAUGGGAGUCACGGUCCCAUGCCCCUGUGUCAGGGCACACAGAGCUCCUAGCCUUGCAUCCUGCUUGAGAGGGGACCUGGAAUAUUCCCUGAUCCCCACAGGGUCCUGGAUUGCAUGGUUCCCCCUCAGUUAUGGUCCUCCCUGUGCCUCAUGGGGUACGCAGCUUCUACGGGCUGAAUUUAUAUCAGUGAUUAACUGGAGCUGGACCACAACCACACCACAGGCAAGCCCUGGGCACUGAGGACAUUAAGAGCAACAGACAACAUCUCCUCCACUGCUUCUGACUCUGCUCCACAAGGCAAGGCAGCUCCCACACAGCAGGCAUCCAGCCUAACUCCCAGCAGGGAGAGUGUGAGAUGUCUGUGGAUGAGCCCACAGGGACUACAGGAUUCUGUGGGAAGACAUCUGGUAGCUUCUGGAGCAGCUGCAGCAGCCAGGACACAUGAACUACAGUGGGGGUCUUGCUUUUAACUACUGGACCCAACACAAAGCCUCCCUUGCAGGCUUAACAGAGCAUGAAAACGAAAUGGCCACCUCCUGUAACAAGAAACACUUCUAGAAGAGGAAGGAGACAUCAAUACAUUCACAAAACUUUCAACUCGAAAUCUGUCUUGCCAAUAAGUGUGCAGGGAUAAAGACAGAAAAGUAGCACACCUGUCUCCAGAGGCUUCACUCAGCAGCUGAAAGCCACAGCCAAUCCUCAGAUGGAGCUCGGGAAGUCUUGUGGAAGAGUGGGGGGAGAGUGACAAGGAAACUGGUUGGGAUAAAACACUACAAGAAGUCCCCUACCGUCAGAUACCUUGGACCAUGGAGUAUGCUAGAGCCUGUGCAACCAACCCCAGAGCCAGAUCUUCAGGAAACAUCUCAACGAAGAACAAGAGAGGCUGAAGAAGAAUGGGGAAGGGUUUGAUCCCUGAAGUUCCUCAGUGU
ensembl:lncRNA